rnacentral:rRNA from 1 species
GACGAACGCUGGCGGCGUGCCUAAUACAUGCAAGUUGAGCGCUGAAGGUUGGUACUUGUACCAACUGGAUGAGCAGCGAACGGGUGAGUAACGCGUGGGGAAUCUGCCUUUGAGCGGGGGACAACAUUUGGAAACGAAUGCUAAUACCGCAUAAAAACUUUAAACACAAGUUUUAAGUUUGAAAGAUGCAAUUGCAUCACUCAAAGAUGAUCCCGCGUUGUAUUAGCUAGUUGGUGAGGUAAAGGCUCACCAAGGCGAUGAUACAUAGCCGACCUGAGAGGGUGAUCGGCCACAUUGGGACGGAGACACGGCCCAAACGCCUACGGGAGGCAGCAGGAGGGAAUCUUCGGCAAUGGACGAAAGUCUGACCGAGCAACGCCGCGUGAGUGAAGAAGGUUGUCGGAUCGUAAAACUCGGUUGGUAGAGAAGAACGUUGGUGAGAGUGGAAAGCUCAUCAAGUGACGGUAACUACCCAGAAAGGGACGGCUAACUACGUG